UGUUACGUCAGAGCAGUUGUUGGU
rnacentral:piRNA from 1 species